CAUAGUUUACCCAAUUGAAUGAUGCAAAUUUGAAAAAAGAAGUAAAUUGGAAAAUUAUUUAAAAUUGUAGGUUGUAUCUAAAUAAGGAAAUUAAAAAAAUUGGGUUCAUGUUCCUUGAAGUUUAAGCAGCGUAGGAAAUAGCAGAUAACCUCAUGAGUGAAAAUUCAAUAAAUCUAAAUAUUUUCUGUUGUUGGUUUUUUUUUGUGAACGAUUCAUCUGAUACUAAUUCUUCUACUAUGCACAUGGGAUGGGCAUGAUAUGUUGUGUAGUGCAUGUAUGAAAGUACUGUAAAGAUAUUUUAUGAUUAUUAAACAGACAAAAAUGAACAUAUUUUACAGCUGAAGGUCGAGCUUUCACCUACAGUCACUGAUCACCCUAAGACAUCUCCCGAAAAGAAGACCAACACUUAUAAAGAGUCUCCUAUUCCUAAAAUAGAUGAAAGACGACAUCAAUUUCUACUUGCAACACACUGUCCGGCUUCAGUAAAUUUACCUGCGCUGUUAGCAAAGGCAGAGAAAGAAGCAAAGACAUCUGCUAAAGCAACACCAACCUCUGUUAAAGCAAAAGAGGACACCAGCCCUGCUAAAUCUAUUGUAACCAAAUCCCAGGAAGAAUAUAUUAUGAGCAUGAAUGAUUGCCAUCCGCAAAGUUGAGUUAAGGAUGCAAGAGAGUUUCCUGCUUAAUCUUAACUUGAACUCAACUAAUCGGAUACCCAAGGACUGACUCCCACAAUGCUAAGGAAAAGAGGCAGAAGACUAUCCCAAGCAGUGACAACUAUUCUUCUACUAAUGUUCCUGCUCCCCUUGAUAAGACAAUAGAUAAAAAAAAUAGAACAACCCAAGGUUUCUUCCAAACAGAAUCUCACUAACACUCAUAACAUCAUGAUGGGAAAUGAUUGUCACAACAAUCUGAGGACCACUGAG